UGAAUACGAGACGCUAAGGCGUCGAAGUAGUGUAUGUCAUACUUCCAAGAAAAGCUUGCACUGUCAUAGAUAAAAAACGCCUGUACCAUAACCGACACAGGUGGGUAGGUAGAGUAUACUAAGGGGCGCGAGAUAACUCUCUCUAAGGAACUCGGCAAAAUAACUCCGUAACUUCGGGAGAAGGAGUGCCUUAUUUAUAAGGCUGCAAUAACAAGAUCCAAGCAACUGUUUAUCAAAAACACAGGUCUCCGCUAAGUCGUAAGACGAUGUAUGGGGGCUGACGCCUGCCCAGUGCCAGAAGGUUAAAGAAGUUGGUUAGCUUUUGCGAAGCUGAUAACUGAAGCCCUGGUGAACGGCGGCCGUAACGAUAACGGUCCUAAGGUAGCGAAAUUCCUUUUCGGGUAAGUUCCGACCCGCACGAAAGGCGUAAUGAUUUGGAUACUGUCUCGGAGAGGGGCUCGGUGAAAUAGACUUGUCUGUGAAGAUGCGGACUACCUGCACCAGGACAGAAAGACCCUAUGAAGCUUUACUGUAACUUGAAAUUGAAAUUGGACUUUAUUCGCGCAGCAUAGGUGGGAGGCGUUGAUUAUAAUCUCGUGGGAUUAUUGGAGCCAUCAGUGAGAUACCACUCUUGUAAUGUUAGAUUUCUAACUUUGAAUCAUUAUCUGUCAAAAAACAGUUUCAGACGGGCAGUUUGACUGGGGCGGUCGCCUCCUAAACGGUAACGGAGGCGUACAAAGGUUUCCUCUGAACGGUUAGAAAUCGUAUCUAGAGUGUAAAGGCAUAAGGAAGCUUGACUGUGAGACCUACAAGUCGAGCAGGGACGAAAGUCGGUCUUAGUGAUCUGACGGUACUGAGUGGAAAGGCCGUCACUCAACGGAUAAAAGUUACUCUUAGGAUAACAGGCUGAUCUCCCCCAAGAGUUCACAUCGACGGGGAGGCUUGGCACCUCGAUGUCGGCUCAUCGCAUCCUGGGGCGGUAGUACGUCCCAAGGGUUGGGCUAUUCGCCCAUGAAAGCGGUACGCGAGCUGGGUUCAGAACGUCGUGAGACAGUUCGGUCCAUAUCCGGUGUAGGCGUUAGAAUAUUGAGAGGAGCCUUCUUUAGUACGAGAGGACCGAGAAGGACAUACCUCUGGUGUACCAGUUAUCGUGCCAACGGUAAACGCUGGGUAGCUAUGUAUGGAGUGGAUAACCGCUGAAAGCAUCUAAGUGGGAAGCCCACCUCAAGAUAAGUAUUCUC
rnacentral:rRNA from 1 species